rnacentral:lncRNA from 1 species
GAGACUCAACAUAUAAAUAGGGUGCAUAAAUAUUAUACAUGCGAGGCCAAGCCUGUUGGCAAAAGGAUAUAGCAUAUAAUAGUAGCAGUGUAGCACAAAAAGAAAAUUCAAUAGAUAGCAACAAUCGAUGCAUGAUAGUCAGUUGAAUCAGUAAUGAAGAAACAUAGAAUAUCAAAAGCAUGUGAAGAUCUCACGGUAGCAGGUGAGGAACAACCAUUUUGAAAAAUUAGGAUUUCGAACGUAAUCAAGUUUUAGAGAUAAUAGAAACCCAGAAUCAGAAGAAUCACAUAAAGAAACAAGAGGUUUUGAAAUAAAGAACUACAAAUCGAGUCAUGCACUUAAACUAACAGUCUUGGACUCAAAGCCAUAGGGUUUUCAGCAAUAGUAGAAUUUAAAGAUGGAUAAACAAACAAAUCGGAUAAAACAUAAGCAAACACGUGUUAGUCUAACAAACAAUCAAACGAAAUUAGCGCUUUUAACAUGCAAACUCAGGUAGAAGGACGAUAUGAGAAAACAACAGCAAAACAUGUCAAAAAUCAAAGAGAAGUUUUGAAAUAACUUAACAGAACCCUAAUCGAAAAGAUAAGGAGUUUUCAAAGCAGAGUAUUAAAAAACCUUGAAAAAAACGGGUAGAAGUUUAGAGCAAAUAUAGAUCUGAAACAGAUUUAAAAGAAAUCGGAAGAACCUUAGAGGUUGGGGUUUCAGAAGAACCCCAAGUGAUGAGAAAGGCUUUGAAAACCAUCGAUCUAAGCAGGAGAGUCAAAAGUCUGACUCGAAUAGCCAUGGCUGGCCGGAGAAAGGUCAGAGACGACCGGAGAAUAGCCAUCGAGAAAAGACUGGACAACACCCUUCAUGAUAUGGUCAUAAGACCACAAAAUCGAACACGUAGAGACCAUGGGAGGUGGAUACAGGUCUCCGAUGACCUUGGAAGCCAUAGAUUUGGGAGAUAUUAGGGUUGUAGUGUGAUGGCAGCGGCUAGGGUUUGAG